UACGGAGGGAGCUAGCGUUGUUCGGAAUUACUGGGCGUAAAGCGUGCGCAGGCGGUUCGUUGUGUCUGAUGUGAAAGCCCCGGGCUCAACCUGGGAAUGGCAUUGGAAACUGGCGAGCUAGAGUGUGGCAGAGGGGGGUGGAAUUCCGCGUGUAGCAGUGAAAUGCGUAGAGAUGCGGAGGAACACCGAUGGCGAAGGCAGCCCCCUGGGCUGACACUGACGCUCAGGCACGAAAGCGUGGGGAGCAAACAGG
rnacentral:rRNA from 1 species